CCUACGGGAGGCAGCAGUGAGGAAUAUUGGUCAAUGGGCGCGAGCCUGAACCAGCCAAGUCGCGUGAGGGAAGACGGUCCUAUGGAUUGUAAACCUCUUUUGUCGGGGAGCAAAAGAUGCCACGCGUUGCCUUCCGAGCGUACCCCACGAAAAAGCAUCGGCUAACUCCGUGCCAGCAGCCGCGGUAAUGCGGAGUAUGCGAGGGUUAUCCGGAUUUAUUGGGUUAAAGGGGUUCGCGGGGGGAAAGUAAAGUCAGCGGAAAAAUUGCGGGGCUCACACUCAGCCAGCCGUUGAAACUGGUAGUCUUGAGUGAGUGAGAGGUAGGCGGAAUGCGCGGUGUAGCGGUGAAAUGCAUAGAUAUCAGGCAGAACUCCGAUUGCGAAGGCAGCAUACCGGGACGGAACUGACGCUCAUGCACGAAAGUGUGGGUAUCGAACAGGAUUAGAUACCCGAGUAGUC
rnacentral:rRNA from 1 species